rnacentral:rRNA from 1 species
AUGCAAGUCGAAGAAGGAUUGCCAGUGCUGCCGGCUGGCGUCAAGUUCGAUCCCACGGAUCAGGAGCUGAUCGAGCACCUUGAGGCCAAAGUGAGUGCUGACAGCGCGAGAUCUCACCCUCUCAUCGAUUUGUUCAUACCAACCAUCGACAGCGAGCACGACAUAUGCUACACCCAUCCUGAGAAACUUCUAGGUAUCACACUGAGUGGCCUAAGCAAGCAUUUCUUCCAGCGCAAUUCCAGGGCGUUCAAAAGGGGCACGUGGACGCGUCGCAAGAUACAGUCGGAGUGCGGCAUGCACGCGAUGUGGCACAACACCGGCAAUACCUUGCCGGUGAUGGUCAACGGCCGGCAGACAGGCAGCAAAAAGGUUCUAGUGCUGCACACCAACAAGAACUUCGACCAGCAGAGGACCAAUUGGGUGAUGCACCAGUACCACCUCGGGGACCUGGAGCAAGAGAAGGAGCGGGAGCUGGUCCUCUGCAAGAUUUUCUACCAGACAAACACUAGGGCCAGGAGUAAAAAGAUUAUAAGUCGAGCAAGUUUCAACUGGGCUGUAGACUGCCCAGGCUUGGUUUUGUUUUUAACAGUCCCAGCCCAUGACGACAACGGGGCACGAAGAUCCAGCAGGCACUUCUUUACUGAAUCAAACACACAGCCCAGUUCUAUUUUCCUCUUGAAACGCAUGUCCUACAUCCGUUUCUAA